CAGGCUGGGUUCCAGCAUAGGGCUCUUGGUGGGCACGCUGGGGUCGGGUGGAGUGCAGGAGAGAGAGGAGGUGGGACAGGUGGGUACCUGGGCUGGAGGCAGGGCCUGAGGUGGGCAGGUGCAGAGGGCUGCACUUCUCGGCUGAAGCCAGGAAUGAGGACCCCGCUCUCGGGUGGGAUUGGAGGGGACCCGCGGCUGAGGCGCAGGGCUGCGACAGGGACAUCACCGUUCUCCUCCUCAGGGAGAUGGUGCUCGUCGUGCACGGCUUCCCGUCCUCCGUGGCCGCCCUUCGGGUAAGGAAGGAGACCGGGCAGCGGCGGCCGGGCGAGGGCUUGGGUUCCGCCCCUCGCUCCGAGCCGCCCUGAUGCCCCUGUACGCCGCCCGCAGUUUGAGUGGGCUUGGCAGCACCCGCACGCCUCGCGCCGCCUGGCGCACGUGGGGCCUCGCCUGCGAGGAGAGACAGCCUUCGCUUUCCACCUGCGCGUGCUGGCGCACAUGCUGCGCGCACCGCCCUGGGCUCGCCUCCCGCUCACGCUGCGCUGGGUGCGCCCAGACCUCCGCCAGGACCUCUGCCUCCCGCCGCCGCCGCACGUGCCUCUGGCCUUCGGGCCUCCACCGCCCCAGGCCCCGGCCCCAAGGCGCCGCGCAGGUCCCUUUGAUGACGCGGAGACUGAGCCAGACCAGGGGGAUCCAGGGGCCUGCUGCUCCCUGUGCGCCCAGACCAUCCAGGAUGAAGAGGGGCCCUUGUGUUGCCCCCACCCUGGCUGCCUGCUAAGGGCCCAUGUGAUCUGCCUGGCAGAGGAGUUUCUUCAGGAAGAACCAGGGCAGCUUCUGCCCCUAGAGGGCCAAUGCCCUUGCUGUGAGAAGUCACUGCUUUGGGGAGACCUGAUCUGGCUGUGCCAGAUGGACACUGAGAAAGAAGUAGAAGACUCAGAAUUAGAAGAGGAACAUGGAGCUGAUCCAGGACACCUCCCGCCCGCCACUGGAGUACGUGAAGGGGGUCCCGCUCAUCAAGUACUUUGCAGAGGCGCUGGGGCCCCUGCAAAGCUUCCAGGCCCGGCCUGAUGACCUGCUCAUCAGCACCUACCCCAAGUCUGGCACCACCUGGGUGAGCCAGAUACUGGACAUGAUCUACCAGGGCGGCGAUCUAGAGAAGUGUAACCGGGCUCCCAUCUACAUGCGGGUGCCCUUCCUUGAGGUCAAUGAUCCAGGGGAACCCUCAGGGAUGGAGACUCUGAAAGACACACCGCCCCCACGGCUCAUCAAGUCACACCUGCCCCUGGCUCUGCUCCCUCAGACUCUGUUGGAUCAGAAGGUCAAGGUGGUCUAUGUUGCCCGAAACCCAAAGGACGUGGCGGUCUCCUACUACCAUUUCCACCGUAUGGAAAAGGCGCACCCUGAGCCUGGGACCUGGGACAGCUUCCUGGAAAAGUUCAUGGCUGGAGAAGUGUCCUACGGGUCCUGGUACCAGCACGUGCAGGAGUGGUGGGAGCUGAGCCGCACCCACCCUGUUCUCUACCUCUUCUAUGAAGACAUGAAGGAGAACCCCAAAAGGGAGAUUCAAAAGAUCCUGGAGUUUGUGGGGCGCUCCCUGCCAGAGGAGACCGUGGACUUCAUGGUUCAGCACACGUCGUUCAAGGAGAUGAAGAAGAACCCUAUGACCAACUACACCACCGUCCCCCAGGAGCUCAUGGACCACAGCAUCUCCCCCUUCAUGAGGAAAGGCAUGGCUGGGGACUGGAAGACCACCUUCACCGUGGCGCAGAAUGAGCGCUUCGAUGCGGACUAUGCGGAGAAGAUGGCAGGCUGCAGCCUCAGCUUCCGCUCUGAGCUGUGAGAGGGGCUCCUGGAGUCACUGCAGAGGGAGUGUGCGAAUCUACCCUGACCAAUGGGCUCAAGAAUAAAGUAUGAUUUUUGAGUCAGGCACAGUGGCUCAUGUCUGCAAUCCCAGCGAUUUGGGAGGUUGAGCUGGUAGGAUCACAAUAGGCCACGAAUUUGAGACCAGCCUGGUAAAAUAGUGAGACCUCAUCUCUACAAAGAUGUAAAAAAAUUAGCCACAUGUGCUGGCACUUACCUGUAGUCCCAGCUACUUGGGAAGCAGAGGCUGGAGGAUCAUUUCAGCCCAGGAGGUUGUGGAUACAGUGAGUUAUGACAUGCCCAUUCACUACAGCCUGGAUGACAAGCAAGACCCUCCCUCCAAAGAAAAUAAAGCUCAAUUAAAAUAAAA
rnacentral:sRNA from 1 species